GGCCGGGCGGGGGGGCCCUCCCUCCCCAACGCGGCCUGGAGCCCCUUCGGCUCAGGCACCAGGUUUUCCUUGCUGGUUCUGGAGCACUUCCGGAGAAGCUGUUUUGGAUUAGUUCUCCAUUGUAAAAUGCAGGGUGUCCUAAAGAUGGAUAUAGAGGACUGCAAUGGACGCUCUUACAUAUCUGAUGCCUUGAGUUACAGUUCAGAGGAAAAGGCAAGAUAUGAAUUAACAACAAAUACUACUGCCAUCACCAAACAUGGAAUAUGAGAAAUCCGUGAUUUAGAAACCAUAGGUAGUGGAGAUUCCUCUUUGGAAAAGGAGUUCACCUCCACCAUUGUGGGGCCAACAGUGAGCACACCAAACAGCCAACACUCCUCCCCAAGCCGCUCCCUUAGUGGUGAGUAUUUAAUCUUGGGAUUCCAAUAAUUCACCCUGAAAAUGCAUUAUACUACGUUUUGACUGGGCUAGUGACCACAUUCAAAGGAAGACCAAUUUUCUGUUCUUGAGAUCUUCUUGCACCAGAGUACUAAAAAUGCCAAAACAAAGCACAACUGAAAUAGGUAGCAAGUUUACAUCUGGUCUUGAAUAAUAGACACUUCUUACUGUUAAGCAUGUUAGAAAAAAGCUAUCUCAUUGCCCAUGAAGGCUUUUAGAAGAGAUGAUCAACUUUUUUUAAACAGCAAAGUGACAUUCUUGAGAAAUUGGAGUACCAUACAAACCAUGCCACACUUUGCAAACUCCUAAUCUAAACCAAUAACUAUCUUUUCCAUUUGAUAAGACCAAGAUGUAAAAAUCAUGAAGUUCUCUGGAAAUUUUCAUAGGAUCAGAAUAUAGUGGAGCUAAGGGCUCUCAGGGUUGAAAUACUGGAACUUCAAAGGGAACCCCUUAGAUUUUAUUUGAAGACAUUGAAUCACUUUACAAUUCCUGUUACAUUAGAAAAGAAAAAGGCUGUUCAAGGCACUCUCUGUCAUAGUGAAUGGCAGCAGAUUGGAAUUGUUGACGGAAAGCAUUUACUGAUGUUGGCUUAUAUAAUGCAGAGAUUAGUUGGGGAAUUUAAAUACAAAGAGUACUAGGAAAAGACUAGUAUGCAUUAAUGGAUUCUAACUUGUUGCUGUCUGAAACUUCAGUCCUUGCUUGCUGUAAUUUAUAGUUAUUUUGUGUGUGAAAGAAACCAAAUUCUGUGGGAAAGUAUGAAGUUGCCAAAUUGUAGAAUGAACUUCUUGUUGUGGGUCUUCAGAUCUACUCUACCUUAUGGUGUCCUUCCCAUAGGGUUUGAUUAAGGCGGCUUGUUCACAUGAGAUUUGCCAUUGCCUUCCUCUGAAAUUGAGGGUGUAGACCUGUCUAGGGCCAUCCAGUGGGUUUCUAUAGUUGAGCGUGAUUCAGACCGAAUCAUCUGGGCUCUAAAACAAUCAAACUAGUAUACCAUGCUGGUAGAAUAACAGUUGUCUGCUUUUGGGAAUUGGAAAUAAUCCGUGUUUUUCAUUUGGUUUCUGCAUUACGUUGACUUUUUAUGAUUUUUCGCAUGAUAGAGCUGCAACAUCAUUUCUUACUCUGAAGUCUCUUGAUAUAUAUCCCAUCUGAUAGCCAGCUUGUAAAUGGUCACUUUGGAACCAAUGCAAGUAGAAGGGUGGGGUAUAAAAUAAAUAAAAACAAUUUCUUGGUUUUCAUCAUUUGGAAAAGAAUAUUCAGAAGUUCAUAUAAUGUGUUCUGCAUUUAGUUGAUUCCACAGAAAAUUAUCUGUUCUUUUGUUUGGUGUGAGAGACAAACUUGCUGAUUAAGUGAGCAUGCAGGAAAUAAAGAUGUUCCUCUUUAACAGGGAAACGCAGGCUCUUGGUGUUGCUUCUGAUCAGUCUUGAUUUCACAG
rnacentral:lncRNA from 1 species